AACUCUGCAUCGACGCAAUCCCAGCCCCACGCACAGAGCUCAUAUCUUUUUCUUUGCUUGUUGCUAGCUCCUUUUUUUUUGGCGGAGUAUUUGCGGUGUUUGUUUUCUCGGACGUCGCUGGUACCUCCUUCGCAUUUUACCUCGCUCCAUCUCUCUCUCCUCACACCAACCCUCUGCAUACCAAUUGCCUGUGCCUCUCUUGGCUCCCCUUCCGUCUUCACUUGGCUUUCUCUCUGGCGCGGGCGUGCGUGCGCUCUCCCGUUAUCACUGGUGUGCUUCCGCAGCAGACAUCCGCACACCUACAGCACUGCAGGCUCGCUCGCACACGCGCAGAUACCCAGAACGCUACUAGAGAGAGAGGGAGGGUGCUGCACACAGACACACAAUCUACAUAUAUAUAUAUAUAUAUAUAUACAUUCGCAAACACGCAGAGAGGCCCUCGAGGACGUUGCCGCCGAAGUUGCCUCUAAGGUUUCCACCUGUUUUUCCCCGUUUUUCUUUCGUUGUCCUGCAUCUUGGACUGGUGUCGUUGCGGCUUGUGGGGUGGCGGCGGCGGCGCUUGCCCUUAUUAUUAUUCUUUGUUGGCUUUGGUGUUUUCUUCUCGCACUCCAGCGUGCGCGGCGCCUUGUCCGUUCCUCUCCCGCUUUCUCUCUCUCUUGAUCCCUUCCCCCUCCCCCUCUUCCGCACCUGUGCGUAUUGUGACUGACGCCCUUCCCUACGUGGUGAGGGAUACCUCCUAUUAUUCUUGAAAGAGACACACAACGACCAUCCACAAUGAACCAGAACGACGCCUCGCCUGGCGGAUCACUGUUCCAGCAAAUGUAUAGCGCGCAGCAGCAACAGCAGCAGAUGCCGCCGCCGCAGGCAUACGGAGGCCAGCUUUCACUGCAACCACCCCCUACUCUUCAGCCGCAGAAAAGCAGCCAGGGUGAUGGCUAUGCACAAAACCCGUACACAGUUCCCCGAGAAGGCAUAGGUGCGUUGCCGUCAACCUAUGCCGGCUACAACUACCCGUCCCAGCAAAUGAUACCCCAGCAGUAUAGCUACACGGCGCAGCAGCAGCCCGCGCGCAUGCCGGCGGUGUAUCAGCCGCCGGUCCAGGAUGACGACUACUACAAGGGUUUCCACGAUGGCGUUGUUCGUCCCUCUGGGCCGGUUUGGGGCAGCGCCGUCAGCUGGAUUCUACCCCUUGUCGUGAACGUGGCCUUCUUUGUUGGCCCUAUCUGGUACUUCCGGCGCAAGUACAUGCAUGCCAUGGCGAGUGCGGCCGGCUCCACUGCCGCGUCAGGGGGCAAGGGUGGUGCUGGAGGCUCGUCGAACAUGAUGAGCGGGCUCAUGGACAUGAUGAACCCGAUGAAGCCGAAGAACUUUCGCACUGAGGUGAAAGGGACGACGUUCAAGGAUGUCAUCGGCAUCCCUGAAGCGAAGGAGGAGCUGAAGCAGUACGUGGACUUCUUGAAGGAGCCCGCCAAGUUCACUCGCCUUGGCGCGCGGCUGCCGAAAGGGUGCCUGCUGACCGGGCAGCCUGGCACCGGCAAGACGCUGCUGGCCCGCGCCGUGGCCGGUGAAGCAAACACGCCGUUUUUUAGCUGCUCGGGCGCCGACUUCAUUGAGAUCUUUGGCGGCAGCGGCCCAAAACGUGUGCGUGAGCUCUUCGAGGAGGCGAAGAAAGCGGCUCCCUGCGUUGUGUUCAUUGACGAGAUCGACGCGAUCGGCUCGCGCAACCAGGGUGGCCGCUCCAUGGGCGGCGGCGGUAGCAGCGAGGAAAACCGCACUAUUAACCAGCUUCUCGCCGAGCUUGAUGGCUUGACGAGCAAGGAGGCGAUUGUGGUGAUUGCCGCCACAAACUAUCCGGAGGCGAUCGACAAGGCGCUUCUGCGCGAGGGCCGCUUUGACCGCAAGGUGACCAUUCCCAUGCCGGAUCACAAGGCGCGCUGUGAGCUAUUCGAGUUCUACCUCAACCGCAUCAUCACUGGUGACCCGAACUGCAAGCCCAAGGUCCAGGUGUUCAAGACGCGCAAUGAGGCCGAGGCGGGAGGCAGCGGUGCCGCGCAGGCGUCUCCGUCGGCUGCCCUGGCCAGCAGCGAGAAGGCCGCCACAGAGACGAAGGCGCUGGUCACAGAGGACGCCAAACCCGAGUCGAUUAAAGUGAUCCCCGGCGUGAGCAACAAAGAGUACGCUGUCGUGCUCUCGGACCGCACCCCUGGGGUGUCGCCGGCGCAGAUUUCUACGAUCGUGAACGAAGGGGCCCUCAACGCGGCCAUGAAUGGCAAGGAGGUGGUGCCGCUGGAGGUGCUUCAGGACAGCAUCGACGACGUCCUCAUCGGCAAGAAGCACCGUCAGCGCAUGAGCAACGCGUCGCUGCACCGCACCGCCUACCACGAAGUAGGCCACUGCAUCAUGGCCUGGACAAACCCGCUGCAGAAGGACGUCAUCAAGCUGUCCAUCAUUCCUCGUGGUCGUGCCGGCGGGUACACGCAGCAGGUGCAGGACGAGGCGAUGGAGCCGCAGACAGACGAGUUUCUCUUUUCACAGCUGUGUGUGCUGAUGGGCGGCCGCGCCGCGGAGCGAAUCUUCGAGAAGGACAUCUCCAUCGGUGCCAUGGACGACCUACAGCGUGCCACCCGCUUGGCGAUGGAAAAGCUGCUCAAGUACGGCAUGUCCAAAACCAUUGGCCAGCUCGCCUUCAAGCCAAACGACAAGAAUGACGGCCGUGCGUGGAUGACGUGGUCGGAGAAUCUGCACGCCAAGGUGGAGGCCGAGGCCCGCGCGCUUGUCGAGUCGGCUUAUGUGCACACAGAGAAGACCCUGCUAGCCCACAAGGAUAAGCACCAGAAGUUGGCAGAGUUGCUUCUUGGCAAAAAAGAACUGGACAAGGCAGAUAUUGCUAGCAUCCUCGGCGCUCGUCCGGUGCUGAAGGCCUAAAAUGUACGGAAAGGAACCUGCGUGUGUAUCCUUGUGUGAAUAGCGAGGGGUGAGAGUGUGCACGCUUUUUUUUUCUCACGGAAAGCCAAUAUCCACCGUUGAAGGGCACCACGCUGCGUUGUCCCUCGAGCAUCUACUGAAAAGGCAAUCACGUAGCUAGUGCGAAGGCACGUGUGGGCUGGUCCUGCUUCAUGGGCCCCUGCAUUAUGUUUCCGUGCGUCUACGCAUUUUCCCGGUCUCUUCGAGUCCUUUUUUCUUUCAUUACGAGCGGCUUUCCUUUUAUUUUCGUUGUACUGCUUCCGGUGUUGGACUCUGUCCUCCUUUGCCACCCUCCCCAUCCUAUUCGCGUCGGUGAGGUUUGCCUGGCCUGCAGGGUUUCCCGCUCCUCUUAGUGUGCGUUUUCGAACCCUCUUGUGAAUGCAACGCUGGCUUACUGUGUUGGCUGGCAUCGGCUGUGCAGAUUGUUGCGCGAUGGCUCCUUCGGCAUUAUUCUAGCUCUGCUACUCACCACAAGAAGGAAGCCGGUUUGCAUACCUCCACGGCGGGAGCGUUCAGCGGCUGAUGGUGUUUCUCUAGGCUGUCUGUCUGUGUCUGUGUGUGUAUGCAUGCGUGGGUGUUGUGUCGGUGCCUCUGGUUACGUGCGCUCUUUGGACGUGGUGAUGCUCUCUUGCACAUUAUUAGCCUCUCUUGCUCUUUUUUCCCUUGUAUUGAUCUAAGUGCUUGCCUUUUGGAUUGUGAAUGGGGGAAGGUGGCGGGGAGGAGGCAGCGGUCCCCCUCCCCUUCUCCCUUUCAAGUCAGUACGUGCCCUGUUACAUGUCACAG
rnacentral:misc_RNA from 1 species